AAUAUUUCAUAAUGGAUGGAACUCUGAUGCAGCGACGCCGCGUGAACGAUGCAGGCUUUCGGGUCGUAAAGUUCUGUCCAUGGGGACGAUAAUGACGGUACCCGUGGAGGAAGCCCCGGCGACCUACGUCCCAGCAGCCGCGGUAAUACGUAGGGGGCGAGCGUUGUCCGGAAUUAUUGGGCGUAAAGGGUUCGCAGGCGGCCUCAUAAGUCAGAUGUGAAAUCCUAGGGCUUAACCCUAGUAAGCAUUUGAAACUGUAAGGCUUGAGUUAAGGAGAGGAAAGUGGAAUUCCUAGUGUAGCGGUGAAAUGCGUAGAUAUUAGGAGGAAUACCAGUGGCGAAGGCGGCUUUCUGGCCUUUAACUGACGCUGAGGAACGAAAGCGUGGGGAGCAAACA
rnacentral:rRNA from 1 species